ensembl:lncRNA
UGAAUGACUCUCGGACUAGAAGUCCUCGGGAAGAUGGAAUUCUAGGGCAGUUAGAGGAAGGGACAGGCAGUGCUCAGUAGCAACCUCCCCCCAGGCCGAGGCAGGUGAGGACUCGACUACUCUCCUCCCUCCUGGGGCUCCAGAGGCAGCCCCCCUGGGCAUAGCGGCCCCUGCCCUCCCAAGCUAAGCCUGCGCGGAAGUUUCCGCACCCACACCCCCAGCUUCUCGCCCAGACCCGCAGCUCCCUCCGCAGCCGGAAGCCCUCAAGUGCCAGAUCUCGGCAAAUUUUGCGGUUGCUCCGCAUCGGGCAGAGAUUGCUUGCGACAGCUUUAGGAGCAUCUGCGUUUAGCUGUGCCUGGUCCCUGUCCCAUUGCCCAUUGUGCAGGUGGGCAAAUGUUGGAUCCCGGUAUCGAACGAACAGCUGCUUCCUCCUCCCUCACCCCACUUUGGGGCUCCGAAGCCACUCCAGGCGAAGUCUGACACUUCUCUCCAGACUCACAUCUUCCCAUCGCACCUCAGUCUGGUCGGUGGUGGGACCUGGGAACACGGCUGAUACCCAGGCCGGUUCGCCUAGCUGGUGAGCCUAGCCACCCACAGCCAAGUGCAUGCAGGGCCAGGCCGUCGCCGGCUUGUUAGAGUGUGAUUGAUUGCCUUAUUAAAGCGUGUUCUUGUAAGUGUGACCAAA